ACGUGUUCAUCCAAGGGAUGGGCGCUUCUAGGGACCCGGCAUCCUUUGGGUCCAGGGCGUCUUAAACUGUCUGUCCCCUCUCACGGCCCCCACAGAAACAGUUUCAUAGGAGUAAAAGUGUCCUAAGUGGACUGGAAAUUACAAAUGCCGGAAAGAACUUGGGGAUGGAAAGCAGCCCUCAAUUGGCAAAACAUAAAGACUGUGCACAGAUGCUGAUGACUAUCCUGAAACAGGGACCCACAAACACUGCUGUUAAGAAUUUGAGUGGACAUGGAUGAACCUGGAAGCCAUCGUUCUCAGCAAACUGACACAAGAACAGAAAAUCAAACACCGCAUGUUCUCACUCAUAGGUGGGUGUUGAACAAUUAGAACACUUGGACACAAAGUGGGGAGCAUCACACACUGGGGUGCGUUGGUGGGGGCUACAGGAGGGAUAGUGGGAGGGAGGGUUGGGGAGGGAUACGUGGGGAGAAAAGUCAGGUAUAGGUGAUGGGGGAAUAGUGGCAACAAACCACCUUACCAUGAAUGUACCUAUGCAA
rnacentral:lncRNA from 1 species